GAUGAACGCUGGCGGCGUGCCUAAUACAUGCAAGUCGAGCGAACAGACGAGGAGCUUGCUCCUCUGACGUUAGCGGCGGACGGGUGAGUAACACGUGGAUAACCUACCUAUAAGACUGGGAUAACUUCGGGAAACUGGAGCUAAUACCGGAUAAUAUAUUGAACCGCAUGGUUCAAUAGUGAAAGACGGUUUUGCUGUCACUUAUAGAUGGAUCCGCGCCGCAUUAGCUAGUUGGUAAGGUAACGGCUUACCAAGGCAACGAUGCGUAGCCGACCUGAGAGGGUGAUCGGCCACACUGGAACUGAGACACGGUCCAGACUCCUACGGGAGGCAGCAGUAGGGAAUCUUCCGCAAUGGGCGAAAGCCUGACGGAGCAACGCCGCGUGAGUGAUGAAGGUCUUCGGAUCGUAAAACCCUGUUAUUAGGGAAGAACAAAUGUGUAAGUAACUAUGCACGUCUUGACGGUACCUAAUCAGAAAGCCACGGCUAACUACGUG
rnacentral:rRNA from 1 species